CAGCAGCCGCGGGAAUACAGAGGGUGCGAGCGUUAAUCGGAUUUACUGGGCGUAAAGCGUGCGUAGGCGGCUUCUUAAGUCGGAUGUGAAAUCCCUGAGCUUAACUUAGGAAUUGCAUUCGAUACUGGUUAGCUAGAGUGUGGGAGAGGAUGGUAGAAUUCCAGGUGUAGCGGUGAAAUGCGUAGAGAUCUGGAGGAAUACCGAUGGCGAAGGCAGCCAUCUGGCCUAACACUGACGCUGAGGUACGAAAGCAUGGGGAGCAAACAGGAUUAGAUACCCGCGUAGUCCCUGUCUCUUAUAC
rnacentral:rRNA from 1 species